CUCACACGCGCACGCGCGCGCACACCAAUUUGGUCACGAUUGACAAAAGCGUUGUGUGGAAGACCGGAGCGGUUUUUCUUCGUACUUUUUGGUAUAAAAUCAGACUUAAAGCGCACAAAUAUCAAAACGCUAAAUCACUUUUUCUCUUCGUUAAAGACGUUUGUGGGUUUUUUCCAUUUUGGUUGAGUCUGAAAUCAAGUUUUUCGAUUGGAGACCCAGUUUUUACGCAUUUCCAGGAGGCAUCAUCUCAGAUAAUCCGCUUCUUUUACUUUGUUUUCGUCAACGAAUAAGCAGGAAUACCUUCGAUGACAAACAACAAGAUUUUUUUUUCUUCUUCUUCUUUUUAUUAUUAUUAUUUUACAUCAAAUGGACUUAAGAAAGAGGAAUGUCUUUGUUCAUUUGGAAAACAGCGAGUCUCGCUUCCUCAAAGUCUUGCGCGCGCGUAAUGUAGGUGUCCACAAUGUUGCGCGCUGAAUAGAGUCAUCACAGUCCUCUUCUUCGUGCACUGGAGUUCCAGUUUAUGGAAAAAAUGAGAAUCCAGCGUUUAUAUUUUAAGGAGUUUGGAGGCUGCUAAGGACUGCUGCUCUUUCAGACCCUGGAGUGUCAUCUCUUUUCCCCCUCGCCAUGGCAUCUUACUGGAAGUAUGCUCAGAGUGAAAGAUGGCUUUCGACUUCCCCUCAUUUCACUGUUUUCUCCGUCUGUGUGCAAUAGCACUGAUGCAGUGAAAUCUUGAUUUUUGUUUAGUGUGUGGUUGCAGGUGAAGUAUGACUGCAGCAGCAGCAGGUGUGCUCACAGGCUUGGCCAAGCUAAAACGCCAGGACUCCGCCCGCUCUCAGCAUCGAUCCUUACCACCUGGAUCCCCGGGCUUAGGAAACCCCAAUACUGAUCCUGUGCCAAGAAAGAGGAAGCGGCGCACUGAUGUGGUGGUGGUGCCUGGCAGGCUCCGCCUCUACUCGGCCUCCGGCUUCUUCCUCUUCCUGGGACUCAUCAUCCUGGGAAUAGGGAUCGGCAUGGCCACACUGGGUUACUGGCCGCACAGAAAAACCACACCCACAGGAGGAGGAAAUGGGGCCAAACUAGGGAAAGAUUUGGCCAACACAAGCCAUAAUGUGCAAGGCACACCUUCCAAGCAGACUGGGAGCGCCGUGAUGCGUUUCCUGCAACGACAUCUUCACUCUGAGAGGAUGAAGAUGCUUGGACCUUUCACCAUGGGCAUUGGGAUUUUUAUCUUCAUCUGUGCUAAUGCAAUCCUUCAUGAAAACAGAGACAGAGAAACAAAGAUCAUCCAUAUGAGAGAUAUGUACUCUACAGUCAUCGAUAUCCACCGCCUCAGGCAGAAGGAACAAAAACAUCACUAUCACCGCAACAGCACCUGUGUGAGAGAGUCAGCUGAUCUUCACGCUUUUGGGGGUGAUGCUGCUGCACGUUUUCCCAGCAACCCCCUCCUAGCGUUCUCCCCUUGGGGUGGAAGUGGAGGAGGAUCGGCGGAAGAGGAGGAGGUGUUGCUAGGGGAUGAAGAAUUUCAGAGACGUAACGAGCAGGCUAAAUUGGAUUGUAGCUUUGCAGGGUUGCUGGCUCCACUCUACAGGGAUCGUCCGUUUGGAGGUCCAGCGUUGGCCCACUCUGAUUCUGUGCGUCACCAGUGGUCAGUGGAUGGGGAUGCGGAGAGGGGAGGACACCACGCUGGCUCCAUUGUCUCUUCCUCCAUCUCUGCAUUUACACUUCCUGUAAUAAAACUCAACAAUUGUGUCAUUGAUGAACCAGAAAUGGAGGCGAUAACCGAGGAAGACAGAGGAGGGGAGACAGGCGAUGGAGAGAGGUCAAAACCUCUCUGCUCCACAGAGUGUCUUGUUGUGCCGGUGGCAUCUGUUGCAAAGGCCUCCAAGCCCCCAGGCUUACAGCGGAGUAACUCUGCCUCAUCAUCUUCCUCCCGCUGUUCUUUCUUCUCCUCCUCCACACUCUCCCCUGCUCCCUCCUCUACCUCAGGCUGUUGGCUUUCUCCAGGAGCAGCAAGGAGCGACUUUGGUUCUAAUACCUCUUUGCACAUGCUCAAUAGCCAUUCCAAAUCCCUGGAUUUAGAGCGCGGCUCUAGUGUUCUCAGUGUUCACCAGGAACAGAGGAAACACCCCAGCUGGCCCAGACUGGACCGCAGCAACAGCUGCCGCAGUCACGCUGGAAAUCGAGGCAGCAGUAAAGGCUACAUGCGCCUGGAGGACAGGGAGGAGCAAGGAGAGCAGCGAACAGACGUGUCAGCGUGCAUGGCGGCAAGACGCGACUACAGCAAACGUGAGAAGCUGCUAAUGAUAUCCAGGUCACACAACAAUCUGAGCUUUGAGCAUGACGAGUCGAAUAGUAGCACAAUGAAAAGAGGAAGCUCUGAGACUCAAUUCUGAAGACUCUGACAUGAACAAUGCAGAGGAAGCUCUCAUGUGGUGUUAGAAACAUUUUAUAGAAAAUCUGUAGAUUUGGUAUCAAUAAAUAGUGAAACCAAUUCAAUGAAAUGUUCAUACGUGACGUCUGCCUCAUGCUACUGCAUCCGUGCAGAGAGGCAGUUAACUUUGCUUGUGUUUGUCACUUUAGUCAAAGGAGGAAUGAAGAAUUAGCUUCCCAAAGGGAUGGUUGAAAGAAAUCCAUAUUGCAUCCAUCUUUUCUUUUCUGUAAAAAAAACAUUUACAGAUCCAGCAAAGCUUUGAUGUUAAAUCUGGACUGCGGUGACAGAAUACAACAAACAGACUCCAGACUGCCUGAAGCCACCUGAACUUUUCAGUAACUGUAUUAAAAGAAAAUGGUUGCAGAAGCUACCACCCUCCACCCUGGCUCCUACUGCAAACAAAAUCUGACCGCGUCUUUGCUACAGACUCUUUAAACUCUCACUUUUUAUGGUUUGCCCUUCAGGUAAUUGGAUUACCAGACUCUGGAGAGAUUCUGAUGGUAAAUGCUUGUUUUAUUUUUAAUAAGCUGCCAUGUGUGUGAUGUGUGAAAUGCAAAUCUCAUCCUUCACUACCAGAAUUUCCAAGUUGUUGAUUUGGUUUGAGAUAGGAAGGUAAUCAUUAUCCAGUUCAAUGUGGCAAUUAAAGUGAUUGACAGACACACCUUGCUAAACAGGCUGGAGCCUUUAUUAGGUGAUGGAGUCUUUUUCUCUUUAAACAAUAGCAUUUUAUGGUGGGGCUGACUUUUUCUCUGCUUUAUUUGUGCCCAGAAACUAAACAAUAUACAAAGAUCCACAUGAGUCAUCACCAAUUAAAAUGUUCUCUGCAGGGAUGUGAGAUUACAUAAACACAUACUUUGGUUUGUAUGGCCACGUCUAUGAGAUACAGACACAAGUGUGUCUCAUUACCCAAUGCAACCCAACACCAUGUAACCACCACCACAAAACUGAAGCCAGAACCAAAUCCACAAACAGAAUAGUUUUAUUUUAAAGUUUGAAGCUCAAAAAUGCCUUCUAUCAAUCCAGCAGUACAUAUGUGCAUUCAAAGAUUCAAAACCAAACACAGAAAUACAGACAAUAACAGCAGAAUGGUGACAUUUUUGUCUCAUCUCUCUCUUUGUUAGAGGGAACAGAUGCGAGGAAUAAACUGUGCUGAAGGCAGCAGACAUAUUUAGGCAGCACGGCCGGAUGAUGUCUCAUCCUGUUAACAUUAAACAUGCAAACUAAAAUUACUUUAUCCUUUGGAGAGGUUUUCUCAACUCCCUCUGUUGAGCUAACCCCUGAUUUAUGACUAAAUUUAAAUUUUAGAAGCAGAUUUGUUUAUUUUGCCCUCAGCAACCAAUUAAAACGAUGGAAAAUAAUUUAGAUUCCUCUUUGGGAUUUGCUUCUGUGUGUCAACUGCUUCUAUCACUAUAAUAUACACAGAGAAGUCGACCCAACAGAUGUAGGCAUUAAAUAAAAAACAAACAUUUCCUGCCGUAUCAAAGUCAUGUGUCUUGUUUGUGUUUAGCCCUUUAAAGACCAGAUGAAAAUGGGGUUUAAAACAUGUUCUUGGGACAUUUUUCCAAUGAUGGAGGACAUAUUUAAGGAAAAUUAGCUUAUAACGGCAUUUCUGAGUUUUUAUACAUUAAAACCACUGUGAAUCAGGAGCAGAUGAAAAAGUGUUGUUUGAAAAAAGCUUAUAGCUGUGACGUAGAAGCUACAAUCGGCAGGCCACAGGUCACUUCUCUGAUGCAUACACUUGUAGACGACUAGAUUCAUCUUUGCUUUCCUUGUCUGAGCUGCCGUUUUUCUCAAAGCUGUAUGGCUGGAUUGCUCCAAUAUUGCUCGCCAUUUCCGUUGCACCGAUAUUGUUAGGUUGGGGGUGUAAGGGCCUGAAAGCUAGAGAGUAUAAACAGAGGCUGAUGGAAAAUGAGGACAGUAUUACUCCGCUGCAACAUUCCCAUCCACAAAUCAGGAGUGAAUUUCUAAUGAACCCCAGCUGCUAAAAGCUUUUGGCUAAAAGCAGUAUAAUUAUAAUUAAAAUAACACUGUGAAAACCUUAACAACAGAUCAAAAGAUAAUUGGAGUGGGACUUCAGCAUCAUACAUAAUGCCGGCACUUCCUCUGUGACGUACCAUUAUUCUUUGACCGUUUAUGCAGUUAGCAAGAAUCAGUUCAUUCUGGCAUGGAAAAAGGCAGAUUUUCAUAUCGGUUUUGCACCAACAUGCAACACAAUAAUAACAUAAUUACUAUAGCAAAGCCGCUUUUUUCCACAACAGAAUCAGCUAUUUCACAUCAAUUGCGUAAACACGUAACAACUGUGUAGCAUGUCAUGGUGAGUCUGCUGUUUUCUACUUCAGAAUCCACUGGAAUCACGUUAAUUGCAUGAACAGUUGAAGAGUUAGUUAGUCAAAAAAUGUCAACACUGGAGCUAAAGCUUUGGUGUUAAAGGGUUAAAAGACAGAGUUAGCUAAGUUACAAGGCCAGCUUUGACCCAAACAACUGAACAUGGCCUAAAACAAGUGCAGAAUAUAGCCUUUUUGGGGGGUUAUGCCUUAAUUCUUUGACAGAUAGUAAUGAUGCCAAAUUUUAUUUUGUGUUUCAGCAUCAAGAAAUACUUGAGGCGCUCCCAUGUUCUCGACAUCAUUAGGGUUUCUGUCAAGUCCAAUUUGUUACGAACAGACAACUUGUGCCUUCGCACCUCCUGGCUUGUGUGACGCUCUGAAACAAAUCGACACACUCUGAGCCUUUGGGGAGCUUCUCCGUGUCUGGAGACGCUGCUUAUCAUCCAGUGAUGUAAUGAAACAUACAUUCAAAGAAAGUUGAAACGUUUUACAGCCUGCUUGGCACUUAUUCAUUCGACGCCUUCCAUUGACCGCCAGACAACUCUGUCCACUUAAAAUUAGUAACCAGGAGUGAGGAUUAAAAGUUUUUUUUAAUAUUUCCAUCUGCUGAUGCUAAGGAGCAGUUUAUUUAAAGUUACUAAAGGUAUCAUGUAAACACAAAAAAACAAAUGAAUUGGUCUGGUCUAGUAUUUUCAGUCAACAGCUAAGCUGAUGACGUGUUUUUAAGUUGUUAAAUAUCAAACCUGUUUUCCCUGCUAUGAUACAACAAUGCAAACUGCUUCUUAUAAUCAGAAUCAGAAUCAGAAUAGGCUUUAUUACAGUACAGUGCAUGUACAAGGAAUUUGGCUUGUGCUCUUGUGCAAACUAGAAAGAUAUAAACAAGUUUAAAGGAGUAAAACAGGAGAGGAUAAAUAAUAAAAAGAAAGUACAAUGAGGUAGAUAUAGGAAUAUUUAAACAUAACUAAACAAAAUGUGCAACAGUAGUUCUGGUGUGACAGUUUCUGUGGUUUUGUUCGGUGUUCUUAAGUGGUCUGGAGCCAGGAGUUCAUUAGAGUGACAGCUCGGGGGAAGAAGCUGUCCUUGUGGCGAGUGGUUUUGGUGCGCAUGGUCCUAAAGCCCCGCCCUGACGGGAUAAGGCUGAAAAGGCAAUAGUUCAAUGGAUGAGAGGUGUCCUUUGCAAUUCUGCAAGCCCGCUUCCUGACCCUGGACCAGUACAAAACCUGAAUGGAGGGAAGAGUGGAACCAAUAAUCCUCUCAGCAGAUCUGAUGAUUCUCUGUAGUCUGUUCCUGUCAUGUCUAGUUGCUGAUCCAAACCAGACCGUGACGGAUGUGGUCAGGACAGGCUGGAUUAUUGCUGUGUAGAAGAUGGUCAGCAAAAGCCACCAGAGGUUGGCUUUUGGGAUUCACAAAUUAACAUUUUUUGUACAGAUGACAUCAAACACAGAAUACACAAACCCUGUAGGAUAAAAUAUGAAGACAUGAAAUGAAAAAUAGAAAUAAACUAUUUUACAAAGAAGCCUCUACGUUGAACCAUUAGGCCAGCAAGGAAAAGCAAGAAGACAGAUGAAGAUGUUCAAUUAAGAAGAAUUUGUUUUUAUGUGAUUUAAGUGAAAGAAGAUUCCAGAAGGGAACAUGUUGUCCUUGUGUUUUUGUAAUAACGGCGCUGAUGUGAGCAUUUCACGGACAUACCGGCAAUCAACUAAUCAGCAGUAAUUACCGCAACACAUCUGGAGGCUAAAUUGAAUGGAUUGCAGAUUAGCUGAGUUACCUGCAUUAAUGCAGCUGCCACACAUUGCAGAAAUGCAUGGUUGAGAAUGAGCAAUGCAUAAUUAGUUAUGGAAGUGAGUCACCCACUCAAGAACAUAUUGGCUCUAAAUGAGUGAAUGCUCAAUUUUUUUGCAUUUUCUAUUAAAAUGGUUAAUUUAUUCAUACUGUUUUCAUAAUAUCUGUUCAUCUCCAGAGAAGAGAAUUGUGCAUCUACAAAAUGUGUUUUGGGUUCAGCGCAUAAACAGAUUCUAACUUUGCUUAUAAUGUGCAGGUUGAGCGCUUGCCAUGUCGCCGUUAAGUCACUCUAAUCCCCUCUUCCAGUCCCUCCCUGUCACUCUGUUGCAAAUCCAGCGCAAUUAAGUAGAAAAACUGGGAGUAUCAUUGAAAGAGCCUUGUGGCAGUUGUCAUAGAGUGUGUUCAUGUGUCUGUCAGUGGGUUUGUGCACUUGCAAUGAAGCAGCAGUGGGGGUGCCAGCCCAGUUGCCAUAGCAGCCGGAGAUGUGCUCUGGACCCCUGCCUGAGGAGCAAACUCACUUGUGCACACAUAAAAACACAGACUGGGCUUUCAAUAAAA